UACGAAGGGGGCUAGCGUUGUUCGGAAUUACUGGGCGUAAAGCGCGCGCAGGCGGUUCUUUAAGUCAGGGGUGAAAGCCCAGAGCUCAACUCUGGAAUUGCCUUUGAAACUAGAGAACUUGGGUACGGGAGAGGUGACUGGAAUUCCUGGUGUAGCGGUGAAAUGCGCAGAUAUCAGGAGGAACACCGAUGGCGAAGGCAGGUCUCUGGGCCACUACUGACGCUGAGAAGCGAAAGCAUGGGGAGCGAACAGG
rnacentral:rRNA from 1 species